GAUCAACGCUGGCGGCGUGCUUAACACAUGCAAGUCGAACGAAGUUUUUCUUUCGGGAGGAACUUAGUGGCGGACGGGUGAGUAACGCGUGGGUAACCUGCCCUGUACAGGGGGACAACAGCUGGAAACGGCUGCUAAUACCGCAUAAGCCCUUAGCACUGCAUGGUGCAUAGGGAAAAGGAGCAAUCCGGUACAGGAUGGACCCGCGUCUGAUUAGCCAGUUGGCAGGGUAACGGCCUACCAAAGCGAUGAUCAGUAGCCGAUCUGAGAGGAUGUACGGCCACAUUGGGACUGAGACACGGCCCAGACUCCUACGGGAGGCAGCAGUGGGGAAUAUUGCACAAUGGAGGAAACUCUGAUGCAGCGACGCCGCGUGAGUGAAGAAGUAUUUCGGUAUGUAAAGCUCUAUCAGCAGGGAAGAAAAUGACGGUACCUGACUAAGAAACACCGGCUAAAUACGU
rnacentral:rRNA from 1 species